CCUACGGGGGGCUGCAGUGGGGAAUAUUGGACAAUGGGCGAAAGCCUGAUCCAGCCAUGCCGCGUGUGUGAAGAAGGCCUUCGGGUUGUAAAGCACUUUCAGUGGGGAAGAAAGCCUUGGGGCUAAUACCCUCGAGGAAGGACAUCACCCACAGAAGAAGCACCGGCUAACUCCGUGCCAGCAGCCGCGGUAAUACGGAGGGUGCGAGCGUUAAUCGGAAUUACUGGGCGUAAAGCGCGCGUAGGCGGUCUGAUAAGCCGGUUGUGAAAGCCCCGGGCUCAACCUGGGAACGGCAUCCGGAACUGUCAGGCUAGAGUGCAGGAGAGGAAGGUAGAAUUCCCGGUGUAGCGGUGAAAUGCGUAGAGAUCGGGAGGAAUACCAGUGGCGAAGGCGGCCUUCUGGACUGACACUGACGCUGAGGUGCGAAAGCGUGGGUAGCAAACAGGAUUAAUACCCGGGUAGUC
rnacentral:rRNA from 1 species